rnacentral:rRNA from 2 species
UACUACUUGGAUAACCGUGGUAAUUCUAGAGCUAAUACAUGCUAAAAAUCCCGACUUCGGAAGGGAUGUAUUUAUUAGAUUAAAAACCAAUGCCCUCUGGGCUCCUUGGUGAUUCAUAAUAACUUUUCGAAUCGCAUGGCCUUGCGCCGGCGAUGGUUCAUUCAAAUUUCUUCCCUAUCAACUUUCGAUGUUUGGGUAUUGGCCAAACAUGGUCGCAACGGGUAACGGAGGGUUAGGGCUCGACCCCGGAGAAGGAGCCUGAGAAACGGCUACUACAUCCAAGGAAGGCAGCAGGCGCGCAAAUUACCCAAUCCCGAUUCGGGGAGGUAGUGACAAUAAAUACUGAUACAGGGCUCUUUUGGGUCUUGUAAUUGGAAUGAGUACAAUUUAAAUCUCUUAACGAGGAACAAUUGGAGGGCAAGUCUGGUGCCAGCAGCCGCGGUAAUUCCAGCUCCAAUAGCGUAUAUUAAAGUUGUUGUGGUUAAAAAGCUCGUAGUUGAACCUUGGGCCUGGCUGGCCGGUCCGCCUCACCGCGUGUACUGGUCCGGCCGGGCCUUUCCCUCUGUGGAACCUCAUGCCCUUCACUGGGUGUGGCGGGGAAACAGGACUUUUACUUUGAAAAAAUUAGAGUGCUCCAGGCAGGCCUAUGCUCGAAUACAUUAGCAUGGAAUAAUGAAAUAGGACGUGUGGUUCUAUUUUGUUGGUUUCUAGGACCGCCGUAAUGAUUAAUAGGGACAGUCGGGGGCAUCAGUAUUCAAUUGUCAGAGGUGAAAUUCUUGGAUUUAUUGAAGACUAACUACUGCGAAAGCAUUUGCCAAGGAUGUUUUCAUUAAUCAGGAACGAAAGUUAGGGGAUCGAAGACGAUCAGAUACCG